GGAGGAGCCAGACUGUAAGAGAGGAGCAGACACAGACACUUGAGAGGAUUUGAGCUUUUAAGAUGGAGUCUGCCCUGUGUACACUGCUCUCAGCUCUGGUUGUGCUCCUGUGUUCUUCCCCAGAGUGUAAAGGAGAAGACACAGUGACCCAGACACAAGGAGACGCCUCUGUCCCUCAGGGACACACAGCCACAAUACAGUGCACUUUUAAAACACUGGACAGUGAUCCACGUCUGUUCUGGUACAAGCAGGAAAAUGGGGGCUUUCCAAAAUAUAUGAUGAGAAGAUUCAAGUCUGGAUUCUCAGAUAAUUCACAGAAGUUCAAAAAACCCAAGUUUGAUGCUGAGUUGAAGGAGACCUCUUUCUCUCUGAAGAUCCAGGAUGUGGAUGUGACAGACUCUGCUGUGUACUACUGUGCUCUGAGGCCCACAGUGACAGGAAACACCAAAACUCUGAACAAAAACCUCUGGAGCAAAGACAACACAAUCCUGCAGUAG